AUGCAAGUCGAACGGGGUUUUGUCCAACACGGAGCUGCUGGAAGGUAGAAAUAGGGAAAUAGCAGCGAGAAACUGAAAGAAGAAAGAAUUGUACUCCGUACAAUGAAGAGGCUUUUAGGAUCUGGCGAAAAAGAAGUGAUUUCUAUUGCAGCCAACACUGCGUGUUGGACAAAAUCUAGUGGCGGACGGGUGAGUAACACGUGAGCAACCUGGCCUUGAGUGGGGGAUAACGUCUGGAAACGGACGCUAAUACCGCAUAAAAUCGAGAGGAGGCAUCUCCUUUCGAUCAAAGCAGCAAUGCGCUUCGGGAUGGGCUCGCGCCCGAUUAGAUAGUUGGUGAGGUAAUGGCUCACCAAGUCUGCGAUCGGUAGCCGGACUGAGAGGUUGAACGGCCACAUUGGGACUGAGACACGGCCCAGACUCCUACGGGAGGCAGCAGUGGGGAAUAUUGCACAAUGGGGGAAACCCUGAUGCAGCGACGCCGCGUGAGUGAAGACGGUCUUCGGAUUGUAAAGCUCUGUCAACGGGGACGAUAAUGACGGUACCCGUGGAGGAAGCCACGGCUAACUACGUGCCAGCAGCCGCGGUAAUACGUAGGUGGCAAGCGUUGUCCGGAAUUACUGGGUGUAAAGGGAGCGUA
rnacentral:rRNA from 1 species